AAGCACAGUGAAAUGAAGUAGCCAAAAUCCUUGUCAGAAAGGAACUGUCAUAAUUGACAAAGACAAAUGGAAAGAAGGAAAGGCUGAGAUCGGAAAGCCAAGAUGCUGGAGUCCGAGUUCGACUGGUCUGAGGGCGAGCGAGGCACCUUCUCGUGGCUGGACUACGUGGUGUUCGGAGGGAUGCUGGCGCUCUCGCUCGCCAUCGGCGUCUUCUACGCCAUCAAGAGUCGCAAGAAGUCCAACGACGAGUUCCUUCUGGGCAGCAGGAGUCUCAGCUGCCUGCCAGUGUCCAUGUCCCUUGUGGCCUCCUACGUGUCAGCGAUCCUUGUUCUUGGCGGACCCUCGGAGGCGUACUAUCACAGCGUCCAGUUCUGGGUCAUUUGCGCAGGUCAGGUCGCUGUUCCCGUGGCUGCCGUGGUCUUUAUGCCCUUCUUCUACAAAUUAAAGUUAACAUCCGUCUAUGAGUACCUCGAGCUGCGCUACUCUUCCCGCUCCGUCCGUCUCGUGGCGGGAGGACUCUUCGUCUUCGAGACUCUGAUGUACCAGGCGGUGGUGAUCUACGCCCCCGCCCUGGCCCUCGCCUCCGUCAGCAACUUCCCUCUUUGGAUUUCCGUCAUUGCUGUCGGGAUUAUCGCGUCCGUCUACACCGCCAUUGGAGGCAUCAAGGCAGUCGUGUGGACGGACGUUCUCCAGCUGCUCGUCCUCAUCUCGGGUCUCUUCGCCGUGGUCGUCAAAGGCACAUACGACCUGGGAGGCCUCGAGGUCGUGUGGGAAAUCGCCGAGAGAAAUGGUCGUGUUGGAUCUCAGAUUUUCACAUAUGGCUUCCACCUCCUGCAGCGCCACACCGUUGCCAACCUCCUUCUCAAUGAGGUCUUGGGUCUUCUGUCACUCUACUCUUGCACGCAAACGACCGUUCAGCGGUACACGAGCACGAAGAGCCUCGCCCAUGCUUAUGCGUCAAUCUUCCUUACGGUCCCCUUCUUUGUAUUACUCAUCUCGCUCACUAUGGUAGCAGGCACCGUUCUCUUCGCGACCUACGAGGGCUGCGACCCCCUGGCGGCGGGACUCAUCGCCGAGAAGGACCAGAUCCUGCCCUUCUACGUCAUGGAUCGCCUGAGCUCCGUCCCGGGGCUUCCGGGCCUCUUCGUGGCCUGCAUCUUCUCCGGCGCUCUCAGGCGUGAAUUCACAAGCCGCAGUCACGUGGGAGGACGUGUUCUCCAGGAGGCCAGGCUGCGCCAGGUUGCUCAGCACGACGCAAGCCAAGAUCACCAAGCUGAUAGCGCUGGGCUACGGCCUCCUGGCGACGGCUCUGGCGUUCCUCGCGGGCCACUUCGGCGGCCUCAUCCAAGCCGCUAUGGCCGUCACGUCCGGGGUGUCAGGGCCGAUGCUAGCCGUCUUUAUCAUGGCCACUUUUCUCCCAUUCACGAAUUCUAAGGGUGUCUGACCUUGAAUAUCCGGAGAAGAUCCUCGGGCUUUCCUACACCCAACUUGGGCCGCUGGGCUUCGUAGUGGCUCUCUUCGUGGGCGUCGUCGUUAGUCUGCUGACAGGUCGGAAUCGG
rnacentral:misc_RNA from 1 species